rnacentral:tRNA from 1 species
AGGGUUAUAGUUAAUUAUAACAUUUGACUUGCAUUCAAAAAGUAUUGAACUUACUUCAAUUUUCCUUA